GACAACGAGGUAAUUCAGCAUUAAUUCUCUAACAGACCUUUCCUUCAUUUUUCUUCUCCUUUUUUCUCCCUUCAGUCAAGCUCGGGAAUACGAGAACCAAAUGAGUGUAAAGACAGGCUACUGUAAAUAAAAAAGCUGGAUGAAAACGUAAGAAAAGAAAAUUUAAGAAAUGU
rnacentral:ribozyme from 11 species